rnacentral:rRNA from 1 species
GACGAACGCUGGCGGCGUGCUUAACACAUGCAAGUCGAACGGUGAACGAGGGAGCUUGCUCCCUCCGGAUCAGUGGCGAACGGGUGAGUAACACGUGAGCAAUCUGCCCCGAACUCUGGGAUAAGCGUUGGAAACGACGUCUAAUACCGGAUACGACGCGGGAGGGCAUCCUCUCCGCGUGGAAAGAACUUCGGUUCGGGAUGAGCUCGCGGCCUAUCAGCUUGUUGGUGAGGUAACGGCUCACCAAGGCGACGACGGGUAGCCGGCCUGAGAGGGUGACCGGCCACACUGGGACUGAGACACGGCCCAGACUCCUACGGGAGGCAGCAGUGGGGAAUAUUGCACAAUGGGCGCAAGCCUGAUGCAGCAACGCCGCGUGAGGGACGACGGCCUUCGGGUGGUAAACCUCUUUUAGCAGGGAAGAAGCGAAAGUGACGGUACCUGCAGAAAAAGCACCGGCUAACUACGU